rnacentral:misc_RNA from 1 species
GAUGAAGAAGGCAGCGAAAUGCGAUAAGUAAUGUGAAUUGCAGAAUUCAGUGAAUCAUCGAAUCUUUGAACGCACAUUGCGCCCGCUGGUAUUCCGGCGGGCAUGCCUGUUCGAGCGUCAUUUCAACCCUCAAGCUCUCCGGAGUUUGGUGUUGGGGCGCCUGGGGCUUUUCGACCUCAGGGCCCUCAAGUCCAUCGGCGGGACCGCCAGGACACUGAGCGCAGUAGUAUUAUUUCGCUCGGUAGGAUCUUCCACGGCGGGUCGAUCUGGCCGCUAAACCCCCCAAUUCUCACCAAAGGUUGACCUCGGAUCAGGUAGGAAUACCCGCUGAACUUAAGCAUAUCAUAAGCGGAGGA